rnacentral:rRNA from 1 species
AUUGAACGCUGGCGGCAGGCCUAACACAUGCAAGUCGAACGGUAACAGGAAGAAGCUUGCUUCUUUGCUGACGAGUGGCGGACGGGUGAGUAAUGUCUGGGAAACUGCCUGAUGGAGGGGGAUAACUACUGGAAACGGUAGCUAAUACCGCAUAAUGUCGCAAGACCAAAGAGGGGGACCUUCGGGCCUCUUGCCAUCGGAUGUGCCCAGAUGGGAUUAGCUAGUAGGUGGGGUAACGGCUCACCUAGGCGACGAUCCCUAGCUGGUCUGAGAGGAUGACCAGCCACACUGGAACUGAGACACGGUCCAGACUCCAACGGGAGGCAGCAGUGGGGAAUAUUGCACAAAGGGCGCAAGCCUGAUGCAGCUAUGCCGCGUGUAUGAAGAAGGCCUUCGGGUUGUAAAGUACUUUCAGCGAGGAGGAAGGGAGUAAAGUUAAUACCUUUGCUCAUUGACGUUACCCGCAGAAGAAGCACCGGCUAACUCCGUG